rnacentral:lncRNA from 1 species
AUUCUACCCCCAGUCUGUGGAUGCGCUGUUGAGCAGCAGGGAGAGCUCUGACACCAGUGCCCUGUAUGGACCCCUGCUCUGCCAGUGGCUGGUUCUGGCCCGGGUCCAGCUCCUCCUGGCCCUGUGUGAGCGCAUCCACACCCUCCCAGAUCCACUCGGAACAGUGCCCCAGGAGCGUGAGACGACCAGACGAUCAAGCGACCAGACGACCAGACGAUCCAGCGACCAGACACCUAGCGACCAGGCGACCAGACAAUCCAGCGAGACAGAAGACGGACAGAAGAGUCCGUUGCUCGGCCUCAAGAAACCCUCCCCAGGCAAAGUGAAGGCGUUGUUGUUGAGGGAGGCGUGUACUAUGCUGGACCCUGUGCUGAGAUCAGGUCAGGCUCCUCCCACUGGCCCAGAGGACAUGGAGCUGGUUGUGGAGGCAGGACUACUCCAGUCAGCACUCUACCUGCAGCAGGGCAAAGUGUCUGACAGUGCUGAUCAGGCGGUGUGUAUUCUGAGGCUGCUGCAGGACUCUGUUGUGUUCCAGGCCGUGUCUCACAGCUCCCUCUCUCCUGGGCCAAGGUCCUCUAUGCUCCGGCUCAGAGAUUCCAGACAGAAUGCUGAUGAGCGCGACAGCAAGUCCCCUCCACAGCUGUUUGACGUUCCCACAGCUGUGGAGGCUAGGGAGAGGAUGGGCCCGUCACUAUGGUUACGCUGCAGACUGGCAGCAGUGCGGAGUCUGGUGGCCCACCUUCCCGACGCGGCCAUCUUGCCAGGUGUGCUUCCCGACGCGGCCAUCUUGCCAGGUGUGCUUCCCGACGCGGCCAUCUUGCCAGGUGUGCUUCCUGACGCGGCCAUCUUGCCCGGUGUGCUUCCCGACGCGGCCAUCUUGCCUGGUGUGCUUCCCGACGCGGCCAUCUUGCCCGGUGUGCUUCCCGACGCGGCCAUCUUGCCCGGAGUGGACAGCGGCGAGGAGGCAGAGUGUGUGUUGAAGGAGGGUCUUCAGGAGGCGGAGCAGUGGGGGUGUGUGGAGACGCACGCCGCUCUGCUGCUGCUGGGAGUCAGGCUCGACACACACCGCGCACGACCACGAGAGUACAGCACCGUACUGCUACAGGAGGCAGUGAGUCUGCUGUCUGGCCGUGGCUGUGUGUCUCUGGGUGGGUGUGUGACUCUGGCCAGGGCCACCCUGCUGCUCAGUGACCUGAGGGGCUCUGGAGGCCAGGCUCUGCUCCUCCUCACACAGAGGCUUCUCCUGCAGCAGCUCACUCAGCUUGGGGAGUCAGUGGAUCUGGGAGAGGGCGGUCGAGUCGUGCUGCCCGCUGCUCCAGGUCUCAGUAAUACCCACCACCCACAGCUGGUCCUCCUGGCCUCAACCACCUUCCGCCUGGGCCACUGCCUGCUCAGAGAGGCCUCUGUGAAGCCUGCAGAGACAGGUGGCUAUGCUGGCCAGCCGCCGCACCAGCGUGCCCUGGAAGUGCUGCAGUCCGCCCUGCAUCUGUGCCAGGCCCUGGGCAGCCGGCCGCGCCAGCUGGAGGCCGACAUCCUCUACUGCAUGGGGCUUGCUGAGCGGAGUCUGUUGUCCCAGAGUGACCUCACGGCCCAUGCUGUGGCUAAGACGUUUCUACGGAGCAUCAACAUCUGCAUGGAUCACUGCCCCAACCUGCAACAUGUCCAGCGGUGUUAUCUGGAGAUGGCUGGUGUGUAUCUGAAACAGCGGGAGGAGAGAACGCCUGACCCUGGCCAGAGUCUCUCUGCACCAAACACCCCAAGCCCAAAACUCCAGACGCUCAGAACACAACUACUGCAUCCUCUGCAUCACAGAAGGCUCCAGGAUUCCAGGAUCCAAACAGGAUACUUACUGAGGAAGAGAUCUACCUGCUCUUCUCCUGGGUCUGUUUAA